GGCAGCUGUUGGAUUGUUUCUAUCAGAGAAGUGGCUUACGGCUUUAUAGGAUCACUUUCCCUGGGAUGUGGAAGAGAGACCGAAAUGGUGUUUGGCCCCUGCGGUGCGAAUGUGAUGGAAUCUCAUUAUUCCACUGUGUGGUGCACAUCGGGUCCUGGUUCGUGUUGAGCUUCUGAGAGAAGCCGGGGACGUGCUGUUUCUCAUCAUUUCCACCCAGCGAGAGAAUCGAGAGAAAGCGCUACACCCGAGCCAAUUACGCUGGGGUCCUCUGUGCUGUUCCCACCUUCAGGAGCUGGUGGAGGCGGGCGGGCCAGGCCGGUCCAGUGCGUGCCCCAGCCAAGGCAGCAUCUUUACCUUACCUGGAUGUCUUGGGUAGAAGCCAGCUACCUCCUCCAAGAAGAUUUUCCAGGCAAAAUCAGAUCUGCCUGAGUAACCUCAGCCAAAGAGACAUGAGGGAGAGUGAGAAGCCGAUGUCAAACGAUUUAUGUCGAACUGAGGCUGCUGUCCCUAUUGCUGAGAGGAUGCAACCCAGCGGAUAUGCUAUCUAUACAUCCUGUUCCAAAGAGGCAGCAUUGCACAGCGGAGUCCAGCAGGACAUCUGUCUACUCAGAGGCCGAAGAGAUGUUGGACCAAGGACGGGCCCUGGGCAUCCUUUAAUGAAG